AUGCACAUUCUUUCUUCUGGUUUUUCCUCUUCUCCUGAACACAAUUUGAUCAUGUAUUCUAAAACAAUUGGAAAAGUGGGAAAAAACUCCUAUAUGCUUUAUAAUAUACUGACCUGUGCCACUUGUUUUAUUUUGUAUUUUUGAUCUUUAAGGCCCCACAGAAACCAAGGUAGCAUUUAAUGACUUACUAAUAGGGGUAGAAACGUGUAGCCUCCUUUCCUCUUGCCAUGAUUUAACUGUUUUCUAACCUGUGCGCCACAUGGAAAAUUGUGUUAUAUUAAGCAUCUGACUACGGUACAUAUAGUCAUACACCUCUUAGACAUUAAAAAGAUUUUCUAGACUUACAAAAGACUAUGCAUUUAGGAUGGCAUUGUUACGGUUGGUGUAAUGAAUCUAUCUAAUAUGCUAUGGAUUUACGAUAUUAUCUCAUUUCUUUGUUGUUAUAUGCAAUGUGGUAAUUAAUUGAUUAGGGACAAUUUCUAGCAAAUUCAUACCAAUUUUUUUUGAAUUUUUUGAAUUUGAUUCCGAUAAAUCUAAUAUAUCAUAUUUAACAGUGACCCUCGGUAAAUUUUAUUUACCGGUAAUGAAAACCCUGGCAACCGCAAGGGACAAUCCCAAUCUCCGCCGCACUCACCUCCACUCAGCCACUCCCCUAGGCCACCCCCUGCCUGCGCGGCUGCGCCCAGCUCAGCAUCUCCGCCGCCGGCCGUCGAGGGGUCGACCUGCCGCCGCCCGGAUCUAGAUCCAGGAGGCAGGAUCCACAUUCUGUCAGGCUGCCGCGGCGCCAACAUCCGCUGAGUGUCCACUGCGCACGCCGACACCGUUUGCCGGAGUCCAAGAACGCCGAGCAUGCCAUGAGGAUUUCCUCUUUUAGCUUUCUUAGAUAGAUCUCUUGGCUGGACCUCACUCUCUGUUGAUAGAUCUCUCACUCUGUGUUGUGUCUACUCUUAGCUUUCUUAGAUGGUGAUAGUAUUGGAGUACCUUAGGCGUAGAAUUUGUUUUGCAGUACAUGUCCUCAAUUUAGUUCCUCAGUUUUCAGUCCAAGUUAUUAUUGUCAUGAGAAUGGACCAUUCAUUUUUUGGGAUGUUGACCAAAUCUCAUCUUCUGUUUGCAGUAAUUUGAUGUGUUCCAUCUUGGUUUCUUAUCCCCAACAAGUGUUUCUUCUCUGUUGCCGAUUGUGUUAUCCUGUCUUGUUCCAUAAGUACAUGAAGGAGUAUAGUACUUGCCCAUUUCAGCGCCACAAGCGGAUGCCCCUUGUGGCAAAUUUCACAGUUCAGAUAUCCCCAUUCCCAUUGGACCAGCCAGCGGGUGAUGAUGGGACAGGGCACAAUUGUUUGACUGAUGUUCAUUUAACUCAUCUCGCCAGGGGUGGCAAAGGGCUUGAAAAACUAAGUUUGAUAUGGUGUUCCGCCAUACCUUCGACAGGCUUGGUGAGAAUAGCAGAGAAUCGCAAGAAUUUGACUUUAUUGGAUCUCUAGAUUCCAACCAUGGUCAUUGAUCUAAGGUUGCUUAGGAAUUACCUCGAUGCUUUUCAGAGGAAGAAUCAUUCAGAAAUGUAGUAGUGUGUUCUGUGAACCGGAAGUGAGGCUACUUUUGCGAUCCUGCUUGGAUGAUAGGAUUCACACAUGAUGCCCUUCAAUACAUUUAGAAAGCAGCGGGUGUAGAUAUAAGGACCCAGCGGUACCCUGAGAUACUUGUUGUUGACGGGAUUUUUCUGAACUUAAGGUCAGUUGGUUAUUGUUUCUCAAAGAUCAAAGCAGCUACAAGGUUUACUUCAUGUUAUUUGAUAAGGAUGGUGUGACUUGUAGUACUAACAGUAACUAGGUUUGUAUUUUGAGUUGAAGCACUUGUGUUUUUAUUUACAGAUUUUGAAACAUGAUAAUACAGUGCAGUCGGUUCUUUGUGCAUGCAUCUGAUAAUUCAGUGAAUUAACAAGGUGCAGAGGCUGCUUUUUUGAGAUUGUGUUGCACUUGUUUUCUCAGUUGUGCAUGCACCUGCUUUUUAUAUAUACUGACUCUUUUUUGAGAUAUACAACUCAAUUUUUUUCAGUACUCUUGGUUCAAGAGCAUGGAAAAAAGCUGUUUUCAGUUGUCUUUGGAUAGAUGGGCUCAGAUUAACUUGGACUACAGUCUACACACUUGCUUAGCUUUUUCAAUUAGUCCUGUGUCGAAGAACAACAAAAUCUAAUGCAGCGCAAGUACUUGAACUGCUUCCAUAUGAAGUGAGUAAAUGUUUGAAUGGCAUACCCUGAUUUGCCAGUCAUUUCCGAUUUAUCACAUAAAAUUACUCUACCUUUGUCCUUUGUGUUCUAUUGCGUACUUCCCCUAGAUGUUUGGUUUCAGUGUUGUGGGAAUAAGGCUAAUCAUAAAUAGAGCAUGCAGGAGUAUCAUUUCACAACUUCGCAUAUUUUAUAUCCAAUUGUUUAUUUUGUAUAUUAGGCCAUACAUCUCUAGCAAUUUGUUUUUAUUCUACUUCUAAUGCAAUGUUUAAUAUCGAAUGCCAAUGAAGUAUCACAAUAUCCUAAUUCUAUCGCUGAUGCUGUUUGGCAAGCGAAAGGUAACCUAGGGUCAAGGACGGUACUCUGGAGGUGGUAAAGCUGGUAGCAAUUGAGUUUCAGUCAGUUUUUUUAUCGUCUUCGAGAAACAAAUGUAAACAAUCCUUGGGUGGGUGAAGGGGACUUAAGACUUGUACGGGCUCUUCAUCAAAUAAUUUUGUAGUUUGUCGUGCUGUCGUGUCCUACGCUGGUUUGGGCAUGGUUGGUUUCGAAAUUCUCCCUGAAAUAUCAAGUGUUUCUACUUAAGUUAAUGUGGAUCUAAUCUCCUAGAGCUACGAUGUUAUUGCGAUAAUUUGUGAUGAUUUUAUUUAGUCGAUUACUUUUUGU